rnacentral:rRNA from 1 species
AGUGAACGCUGGCGGUAGGCCUAACACAUGCAAGUCGAACGGCAGCACAGUAAGAGCUUGCUCUUACGGGUGGCGAGUGGCGGACGGGUGAGGAAUACAUCGGACUCUACUUUUUCGUGGGGGAUAACGUAGGGAAACUUACGCUAAUACCGCAUACGACCUACGGGUGAAAGUAGGGGAUCUUCGGACCUUGCGCGAUUGAAUGAGCCGAUGUCGGAUUAGCUAGUUGGCGGGGUAAAGGCCCACCAAGGCGACGAUCCGUAGCUGGUCUGAGAGGAUGAUCAGCCACACUGGAACUGAGACACGGUCCAGACUCCUACGGGAGGCAGCAGUGGGGAAUAUUGGACAAUGGGCGCAAGCCUGAUCCAGCCAUACCGCGUGGGUGAAGAAGGCCUUCGGGUUGUAAAGCCCUUUUGUUGGGAAAGAAAAGCAGCAGGUUAAUACCCCGCCGUUCUGACGGUACCCAAAGAAUAAGCACCGGCUAACUUCGUG